AUGGCUAUAUCACAUUGAAACACCGGUUCUCGUCCAAUCACUGAAGUUAAGCAACGUUGAACCUGAUCAGUAACUAAGUGGGUGGUGUUGCGGAAUACCAGGUGCUACAAG